GUCCUCCGUCCGCAUGACGCAGAUGAGGAUGGUGGAGCGGCGCGCGGCCACGGCCUCCGCUCUGGCAAUACGGAUCAGAACCUAACAGAAGAUUUUAACAUUCUAAGGGCUUCUUGCUAAUGAGUAGCUAAUUUGCGGGACCCUGGAGAGGAACUGCUGUCUCCCCACCAGCUCCCCAAACAGCUCAGGCGUCUCCUCCAGACGUUUGAUCAGUUCCUUGAUGUUGUAGUGGACCGCUUCUGUAUACACCUGAACACACAAUGCAGGGCUGGAGCUAAAGCCCUAUUGCAGAGUGAUUUAAGAACAACGCUGUGCCUCAGACCUCCUGGAUGUUUUCCGUCGGCAGCUUCUCCGACCUCAGGAACUCCAGAACGGCUCCGAAGUGGGAACCGUCGCGGUCGAUGAAGAAGCGUCCCUGAGCGUCGGUGCUGACUUUGGGCUGAGAGCCGAACAGCUCCGCCACCUUGGAGUCCGGGUGUCUUCUGAGCGUGCUCAGUGUGGUGCUGAACAGGUGACCCCCAACAUUUAGCUGAACCACAGGAGAGCGCUGAGACAAAUGCCUCGAUGUCUUCAACUGAAACGACCUCGCUGGUCUGACGGACCGGAGCAGAACCACAGAACGUGAAACUAAACCGGUCACGACCAGAACCAGACAGAGACCAGUUCCGACUCGUCAUCGUCUCAUCAAGGAAGGGACGUAAACAAAUACUAAGAAAAAUACAAACAUUUUCCUUAAAAAUCAGUUUUAAUUUGGGCUACUAAUUGGGCUUUUUCUGUCUGAAGCCGACUUACGGAUUUGUUUGUGUUUACACUUGUCAAUUUAGCUUUUCAGAAAUGUUUUUAUUGUCUCCAAAUGUCUGAAACAGAAGAAAAUCUCUAUUUAUGCAUAAUUUAAAAAACUAAAAAAGGUUAAUACUGUCGCUUGAUGUGUUUUCAGAGAGACAAGCUGAUAUUUUAGUUGUG